AUACGUAGGUGACAAGCGUUAUCCGGAUUUACUGGGCGUAAAGGGCGUGUAGGCGGUCUUGCAAGUCAGAAGUGAAAUUCCUGAGCUCAACUCGGGCGCUGCUUCUGAAACUGCAGGACUUGAGUGCUGGAGGGGAUAGCGGAAUUCCUAGUGGAGCGGUAAAAUGCGCAGAUAUUAGGAAGAACACCGGUGGCGAAGGCGGCUAUCUGGACAGUAACUGACGCUGAGGCGCGAAAGCGUGGGGAGCAAACAGGAUUAGAUACCCUGGUAGUCCACGCCGUAAACGAUGAGUACUAGGUGUAGGGGGUAUCGACUCCCUCUGUGCCGCAGUUAACACAAUAAGUAUUCCGCCUGGGGAGUACGUACGCAAGUAUGAAACUCAAAGGAAUUGACGGGG
rnacentral:rRNA from 1 species